GCUCCGAGGGUUCAUACUGGCUCCACUCAAACAGCUCUGGAAGUUGAUUCUGGAGAGAAACGUCUAAAUGAGCUUGGAUACAAGCAAGAACUCAGAAGAGAAAUGACCUUGUUUAAGACGCUUGCAAUUACGUUCUCGAGCAUGGCAGUUUUUACUGGAACACCGCUGUAUGGCCCAAGCCUACUUUAUGCAGGACCUGCAAGCAUGAUUUGGGGAUGGCUGGUGGUCACAUUCUUCACCUGGUUUGUUGGAAUAGCCAUGGCUGAAAUUUGCUCCUCUUUUCCUG
rnacentral:misc_RNA from 1 species